rnacentral:rRNA from 1 species
GACGAACGCUGGCGGCGUGCCUAAUACAUGCAAGUAGAACGCUGAAGAGAGGAGCUUGCUCUUCUUGGAUGAGUUGCGAACGGGUGAGUAACGCGUAGGUAACCUGCCUUGUAGCGGGGGAUAACUAUUGGAAACGAUAGCUAAUACCGCAUAACAAUGGAUGACACAUGUCAUUUAUUUGAAAGGGGCAAUUGCUCCACUACAAGAUGGACCUGCGUUGUAUUAGCUAGUAGGUGAGGUAACGGCUCACCUAGGCGACGAUACAUAGCCGACCUGAGAGGGUGAUCGGCCACACUGGGACUGAGACACGGCCCAGACUCCUACGGGAGGCAGCAGUAGGGAAUCUUCGGCAAUGGGGGCAACCCUGACCGAGCAACGCCGCGUGAGUGAAGAAGGUUUUCGGAUCGUAAAGCUCUGUUGUAAGUCAAGAACGAGUGUGAGAGUGGAAAGUUCACACUGUGACGGUAGCUUACCAGAAAGGGACGGCUAACUACGUGCCAGCAGCCGCGGUAAUACGUAGGUCCCGAGCGUUGUCCGGAUUUAUUGGGCGUAAAGCGAGCGCAGGCGGUUUGAUAAGUCUGAAGUUAAAGGCUGUGGCUCAACCAUAGUUCGCUUUGGAAACUGUCAAACUUGAGUGCAGAAGGGGAGAGUGGAAUUCCAUGUGUAGCGGUGAAAUGCGUAGAUAUGUGGAGGAACACCGGUGGCGAAAGCGGCUCUCUGGUCUGUAACUGACGCUGAGGCUCGAAAGCGUGGGGAGCGAACAGGAUUAGAUACCCUGGUAGUCCACGCCGUAAACGAUGAGUGCUAGGUGUUGGAUCCUUUCCGGGAUUCAGUGCCGCAGCUAACGCAUUAAGCACUCCGCCUGGGGAGUACGACCGCAAGGUUGAAACUCAAAGGAAUUGACGGGGGCCCGCACAAGCGGUGGGGCAUGUGGUUUAAUUCGAAGCAACGCGAAGAACCUUACCAGGUCUUGACAUCCCGAUGCUAUUUCUAGAGAUAGAAAGUUACUUCGGUACAUCGGUGACAGGUGGUGCAUGGUUGUCGUCAGCUCGUGUCGUGAGAUGUUGGGUUAAGUCCCGCAACGAGCGCAACCCCUAUUGUUAGUUGCCAUCAUUCAGUUGGGCACUCUAGCGAGACUGCCGGUAAUAAACCGGAGGAAGGUGGGGAUGACGUCAAAUCAUCAUGCCCCUUAUGACCUGGGCUACACACGUGCUACAAUGGUUGGUACAACGAGUUGCGAGUCGGUGACGGCAAGCUAAUCUCUUAAAGCCAAUCUCAGUUCGGAUUGUAGGCUGCAACUCGCCUACAUGAAGUCGGAAUCGCUAGUAAUCGCGGAUCAGCACGCCGCGGUGAAUACGUUCCCGGGCCU